UUUUUGAAGAGUUUGAUCCUGGCUCAGGACGAACGCUGGCGGUGCGCUUAAUGCAUGCAAGUCGAACGAACCUAUCCGCUUCGGCGGGGACGGAGAGUGGCAGACGGCUGAGUAACACGUAAGUGACCAACCCCGGAGCGGGGGACAAGCCGGAGAAAUCCGGUCUAAUACCCCAUACGUUCCAUCAGCUACGGCUAAUGGAAGAAAGAUUUAUCACUCUGGGACGGGCUUGCGGCCUAUCAGAUAGUUGGUGGGGUAAUGGCCUACCAAGUCGUAGACGGGUAUCCGGUGUGAGAGCACGAACGGGCAGAGGGGGACUGAGACACGGCCCCCACUCCUACGGGAGGCAGCAGCAGGGAAUCUUGCGCAAUGGGCGAAAGCCUGACGCAGCGACACCG
rnacentral:rRNA from 1 species